AGUGAACGCUGGCGGUAGGCCUAACACAUGCAAGUCGAACGGCAGCACAGUAAGAGCUUGCUCUUACGGGUGGCGAGUGGCGGACGGGUGAGGAAUACAUCGGAAUCUACUUUUUCGUGGGGGAUAACGUAGGGAAACUUACGCUAAUACCGCAUACGACCUACGGGUGAAAGCAGGGGAUCUUCGGACCUUGUGCGAUUGAAUGAGCCGAUGUCGGAUUAGCUAGUUGGCGGGGUAAAGGCCCACCAAGGCGACGAUCCGUAGCUGGUCUGAGAGGAUGAUCAGCCACACUGGAACUGAGACACGGUCCAGACUCCUACGGGAGGCAGCAGUGGGGAAUAUUGGACAAUGGGCGUAAGCCUGAUCCAGCCAUACCGCGUGGGUGAAGAAGGCCUUCGGGUUGUAAAGCCCUUUUGUUGGGAAAGAAAAGCAGCAGGUUAAUACCCCGCUGUUCUGACGGUACCCAAAGAAUAAGCACCGGCUAACUUCGUG
rnacentral:rRNA from 1 species